rnacentral:lncRNA from 1 species
UAUUAACAUUACAAGGACACAUUUUUAGUCAUGUGUAUUAAUUAUAUUUUAAUUUGUUCCUGGAUCAGACAGUGAACCCAGACCAGAUGUUUUGUGGCCCAAUUCUCAAGAAAUCCUCUACUCUGCCAUCAGUGCCUGCACACUAUAUGGGACCGACGGUUUGGGUGUCCAUAUACCAAUAUUGUGAUCCCAGGAGACGGCUCCAUUUACAGGAUGAAACUCCUUUUGCAGAGUCAAUUGCCAGUCACUCCACUCUUUCAGGGUCCCUUUUUACCCACACUACAGUUAGUGCUCACUUGCAGAAAUGGGGCAUGCUACAGUGUGACAGCGGGCAGAGGAGGAGACACAUGCACUGUUGCACUUAUUGAAAGGUACAAAAUAAACAGUUAUUAAAAUGGGUUUAAAAAUACAGAAUUUGGUGUAUAAAUAGCUAAUAGUCUGGUUCAGUGUUUGCUGUAAGCUGGUCCUGCAGUUCCUCUAAAACCCUCUACCUCCCCCAGUUCCACCUGCCUAAAUCUGCUAUGUGAUUUAUGCAUGUCUAUAAAUGUAGCAGCAGCAUAUCUUACAGCAGUAUUUAUUGAUGUGCAUAGCAGAUCUUGCCCACCAAGACCAAAUACGUUAACAUCAUAUCCAUUAACAUACUAAAACUUGACAUGAUUGACAUAAAUAUAAUGACUGUCUCUAAUCAGACCUGCAGGCCAAGGCAGUUCUGUCACUGUUGCUCAACCUGUGCCCUUCCUGAAGCGUCUGGUAUUGUAAAAUUUUGCAGCAUAAUAUUGUAUUUGACAGAUGUUAGCUUCUGGAUUAAAUUAUUUCUUAUAUAUAUGGUGUAUGGUUGUGACAGGUACGUUAAUAACUUUGUUUGCAGUUGUAGUUAGCUUUAGUCCAAGAUCUUAAGUCACUUUAUUAAGAAAGUAUCUGUCAAGAACUUGUACAUGUAAAUGUAUCAGUACUAAUUCCUGAAAUUGUUUAUAGAUUUUGUUGAUGCAGAGAAAUGGGCAAGUAUCUAUAUGGGAAACGAAGGAUGGAGCACCAGUAUUUAUCUUAAACCUGCCUACAACUUAUGUGCUGGGCUCACUCAGGGAACCUGUGUGUCUGCUUGAGCCAGUCCAAAAAAAACUAUAUAUUACAGGUGACAGAAAAACACCUUUGGUGAAGAUGACUGAUAGGAAAGAGGAUGAGUGCUCUCUCUUCAUCUUCAGCUUUUUAGAAUGCUCAUUGAUGGAUCUAUAUCUUGUCACAAGUCCAGCUGUAAGUGAAAAAGAGUCCAGAGCCACACUCUCAGAUUUGGAGGAGGCCUGCAACCUUUACCUUCAGGAAAGAGCUGAUUCUUGGAAAGAGAGGAACAGAAAUGUGGCUUUCCAAUGUGAGCAGCUUUUGAAGCGUGAUGUUAAAUGAAGCUUCACAUACUACAAAGAGAUCCAGACAUGCCAUGCUGACAGACAGAGAGUGUGUUUUCUUUUUUUUCUAUAUUAAUGUGGAUGAAAUGCAUGCAUUCAUUCAUCAAUCAGCCAGAGAAAAUUGUACGAUUUAACUUUUAAUGUCAUAUUUAAAAAAAAUACCAUUGAAUACUGUACAUUUAAAAUUCAAAUGAAAGUUCAUUUCAGUUUGGGUUUAUGAGGAGGUUACAUGUCAUUUUUCACAAGAACCUAUUCUACAUGAAGCCAGGCCAAUGCAAAUGUGUUUAUAUAUGCACAUGUCCUAAUAUAUGUUUAUAUAUACAUGAAUAAUCCGUGCAUUUGAUUAAGCUUAUUGUGACUUGAUUCUAGCAUUUUUUCAACAUUUACAGAUCAGUUGCAGUAAGUAGUUGUUAUCUUCUUAACAAAGGUCAAGUAAACUAAAUUCAGUAUAUUUGUUAGUAUAUCUGUUAUGCAGUCUGAUAGUCUGUUCUGAGGUCAGAAAAUGUUCAUAUAAUAUCACAGCUAAUCAUGUCUCCCACACAUUAUACCGAAUGUCAGCACAAUUUUUCUGGUUUUAUUGUUCUUAUGUAUUUCAUAAGACAGGCCAUAGGCACUGGUUUUCAGAUUUGCUCCACUUAAGUCUUUUCCAGCAAGCGGAUCUUUUCACGAUUAGUACAUUAGUACCGUUUGUGCUGAACAUCAAUUUAAUUGAAUUUGAG